rnacentral:rRNA from 1 species
AUUGAACGCUGGCGGCAGGCUUAACACAUCCAAGUCGAACGAGUGGCGGACGGGUGAGUAAUGCUUGGGAAUCUAGCUUAUGGAGGGGGAUAACUACGGGCAACUGUAGCUAAUACCGCGUACCAUAGGAUGAGCCCAAGUGGGAUUAGGUAGUUGGUGAGGGAAAGGCGCACCAAGCCGACGAUCUCUAGCUGGUCUGAGAGGAUGACCAGCCACACUGGAACUGAGACACGGUCCAGACACCUACGGGAGGCAGCAGUGGGAAAUAUUGCACAAUGGAUGCAAGCCUGAUGCAGCCAUGCCGCGUGUGGGAAGAAGGCCUUCGGGUUGUGGAGCACUUUCAGCGAGGAGGCGUUACUCGCAGAAGAAGCACCGGCUAACUCCGUGCCAGCAGCCGCGGUAAUAC